rnacentral:sRNA from 1 species
GGCUGACCUGAUGGUAGUGGGCUAUCAGAACUUAUUUACAUUAGUGUCACCAAAGUUGGCAUAUAACCCUUCACUGCUAAAUUUGACUGCCUUAA